CAAACCCCGCCUCUUCCCACUCCUGCAGCCAGCAUCCCCAAGACAGAGGCUGCAGGAUUCUGACACAGAGAACCUGCAGUCACUGGGAGCCUCUCCAGGACACAGUCUGUGCCAGGGGAAAGGUCUGGACAAGGAGGAAGCUUUAAGAGAAGCAAAAAGCCAUGGUUUGAAACUGCAUCAGAAUACAUUGUCUACCUGAUUACAUUCCAGCCAGUCAGAUGUCCGGAGAGGGGACUCACCACUGCAGGGACCUCCAGCCCGCAGAGCUGUUCAAGGAAGGACCCAGGGACGAUAUCAGCACAGCAAUGACGAGCCAGACUCUGGAGCCGACGGCCCAGUUGAAGUCCCACCACCCUACUGAAUGGCAGUGAGAUUUGGAACCACUACUGUGACAGGGCAACAAAGUACAGGCAAGAAUCUAGAAGCUGCAUUCUGUUUCCCAGGGCAGCCGAAGUCAGCAGUCUUGGAACCCAUCAGAGCCUCCUGGAUUCUGUUCUGUUGGAUCUCCCUUGAGGAUGAGGAACCACACAUUAGCUGCGGGCCUUGAACACGCCACAUCCCCUUCUGCGUCUCAACUGUCUUCCCUGCUAAAGAGGAAGAUGGUGCCUAACGAUGUACCUCCUCUGGCGGCUGUAGAAUAACAACAACUCCCACUUGUAUGGAGUCUGUCUAGCAAGCUCAAAACAGUCUGAAGAGAUUGCUACUAUUAUUAUUGCCCACUUUACAAGGGAGAAAAUUGAGGCAAAUGGCUAGCCCAAGAUCUGAGCUCCAAAAACAUGGCUCCAGCAUCCAGGCUCAACUGCUUUGCUAUGUGACCCAUUGCCUGAAAACACUGAGUAUAUCUUAGCUGCUUUGUACGUGAGCAGUGCUCCUGGGACACCCACACCCCCUGGGGGGAUGAAAGUCAACGAAGAUUCUGGAAAUGAUGCUGCCCCCAGCCUCAGGCCUGCGACUUCAGUGGCCAGAGUGCCCAGAGUCCAGGCCAAAGGCAGGUCUCCUGGCCCAUCUUCCAUGCUCUUUUUCCAAGCCAAGUGUCCCUGCUGCCAAGAGCAGGUUUGCCUGUCUCCUGGAGACAGCGGUCGUCAAGCCCCGCGAGCACAGCAAGCAUGUCAAAAAUAGCAGCGCCAGCAGACUGCAUGGCUGCAAUUUCCUUUUGAAAUGUUGGCUCGGCUCUCGCCAAAGAGCUGGGGUCUGUCUGUGCUCCCUGCAGCCUGCAGUCAUGGUGCUUUCUAGGGGUGUGGGGAGGGCAAGCACAGGGCCCACCGCAGCCUACAGAGGAGUCCUCUUUCUGCACUGAAGCAGCGAUGGGGUGGGUGUGUUUGUUUUCUUUUUUUUUUAAUGGGCAUACACCCCACCAGGGCCAAGCCCCUCACCCCCACCCCAAGGUGAAGUAAUGGCCAAGGUGAGGCCAGAAUGAGUGAAAAUUCCUGGUGCAUCUAGGAGUGAGGAAGUCAUACCCUCCUAAGGAAAUCCCUCCAAACAGUACAGAGGGGUAUGAGAACCCAGAAGGCACAGGGUCAGGGCGAACUGCUCUCUCAAAGGGAUACCACAGGCCCUCUGCAACCCCACAGCGACCUCCAGCCCGAGCCUGGGACAGGCCAGUGGUUCAUGGGGAGGGGCAGGAACACGAGGCCUAAGGACCCCUGUCUUUCUUCCCAGAGGCUUGCAUCAGCUAGGGGGCCCUCUCCCCCUGGAGUCCCAAACUCCACACGAGGCAUCUGAGUAUCUAGAGGCAGCUCCCUAAAGCAGGGUGGAGAAGGAAACCCCCCACUCUCAGAAACAGAUUUCUUCCUCCUCCCCUACGUGACCUUGACAGGCUAGAACGCACCACUCCAUCUCCUGCAGAAACAAGCAAGUCAGGCCUGGCAGGGCUGGACAGCAAGCUGGCCACAUUAUCCAAGAUUCUCACGGACUCUGUCUUGGUGUUGACAGAGUCCUGCAGAAAGCGAAGGGAAACAGCCACGGAGAAAGGACCAUAGCAGCUGGGCUGGAGCUGUGGAUAACGAGAGGCGCAUCUAAUGGCAACCCUGAAGCAGGGGCUGGCCAGCAAAGGGUCAGUCCCUUGAGCAAGCGACGGCCCUUGUCCAAUGUCCCAAAUAAUGUCUCACCGCCUUUUUGUAGUUCAAAGCCUGUUAAUUAGGCUCUGCACUUGCUAAAAAUGACUUGACCUAGCUUUAGACUAGAGAGGAAAAAUCAUGCAAAUCCCACAAUGGUA